rnacentral:rRNA from 1 species
AGUGAACGCUGGCGGUAGGCCUAACACAUGCAAGUCGAACGGCAGCACAGUAAGAGCCUGCUCUUACGGGUGGCGAGUGGCGGACGGGUGAGGAAUACAUCGGAAUCUACUUUUUCGUGGGGGAUAACGUAGGGAAACUUACGCUAAUACCGCAAACGACCUACGGGUGAAAGCAGGGGAUCUUCGGACCUUGCGCGAUUGAAUGAGCCGAUGUCGGAUUAGCUAGUUGGCGGGGUAAAGGCCCACCAAGGCGACGAUCCGUAGCUGGUCUGAGAGGAUGAUCAGCCACACUGGAACUGAGACACGGUCCAGACUCCUACGGGAGGCAGCAGUGGGGAAUAUUGGACAAUGGGCGCAAGCCUGAUCCAGCCAUACCGCGUGGGUGAAGAAGGCCUUCGGGUUGUAAAGCCCUUUUGUUGGGAAAGAAAAGCAGCAGGUUAAUACCCCGCUGUUCUGACGGUACCCAAAGAAUAAGCACCGGCUAACUUCGUG